rnacentral:rRNA from 1 species
AACGAACGCUGGCGGCGUGCUUAACACAUGCAAGUCGAACGGGUUCAUAAUGAGUAGCAAUACUUGAUAUGAAUUAGUGGCGGACGGGUGAGUAACACGUAGGUAACCUACCCUUGAGCGGGGGACAACCCAGGGAAACUUGGGCUAAUACCCCAUAAGACCACGGGGUGUGAAUCUUGUGGUAAAAGUAGCGAUACGCUCAUGGACGGGCCUGCGGCCUAUCAGGUAGUUGGUGAGGUAACGGCCCACCAAGCCGAAGACGGGUAGCCGGGCUGAGAGGUUGAACGGCCACACUGGAACUGAGACACGGUCCAGACUCCUACGGGAGGCAGCAGUGGGGAAUAUUGCACAAUGGGGGAAACCCUGAUGCAGCGACGCCGCGUGGAGGAUGAAGGUCUUCGGGUUGUAAACUCCUUUUAUUGGGAAAGAUGAUGACGGUACCCAAUGAAUAAGCCACGGCUAACUCUGUGCCAGCAGCCGCGGUAAGACAGAGGUGGCGAGCGUUGUUCGGAAUUACU